GCGCGGCGCGGCCCAGCCCAGUGUGCGUACGCCCCGCGCGCCCCCUCCUCCCGCAGGCGGCAGCGCCUGCUCGUCUGAGGCUUCUAAUGUGAGGAAAAACACGGAAUGACAAGUGUGGGAAAGAGCAAGCGCUAAAUUACUGUCAGAAGAAGAAACGGAGGAGCACAGUGGUGCUCGGUGAUUUACGGGGGCAAUUAGUCACCACGCCACGGCGCUGCUGAGGGCAGCACGGCAGCAGACGCGCGUCAGGCCCGAGAGGAAGAAGAGGCUUUGCACUGCUUUUCAGACAACUUUUCAAACAACGAGAGAGGAUAUUUGAGCGCAUUAGGUUCCAUGUCUGCAUUCUGGGUGCCCAUCCUUCAAAUUAUUCAACCAACCUAAUACAGAAAGAUGUGAAAUACUGGAAGACACCUCUCUGCUGGUCCAUAGAUCAGCCAGUGUUGCUGCUGGAGUAGAAGCUUCUGACCACAACCUUGGCUGUAAGGCUGACGUUUUAUAUCACAGGGAUUUUUACUCACUGGAACUAGCGCCUGUCGUGGAGGUUAAGAAUGGCUGCAUCUGAUUCUGCUCUGCUCCUUUUUCAUUGUUUUGGAAGAACAAGAAUAGCUUUACAUUCAGAUGUUCAUUGAAGAUUUGAUAAGAGAAGAGGAAGGAGAGUAUUAUCUAAUGUUGAGUAUUUUUAAAGAGACUGCUAAGAAGUAAGCUUCGGCAAUGAGCCUGGAUUUACACAGCUGUAUUCGGAAUGGGCUUUGAAAGCACCGUGUGGUCAUUUUUUUCAAAACGGGACAACUUGGUCAUGGAGCCGUGGCCCAUCGUCCUGAAGGAGAAGGAGUAAGUCAGCGCUUCUGUAAAGGCGGCUACCCGCAGACAGGAACGGCUGCUCAGAGUAUUUUGCGAAUUUCCACUUGCAUUUGUCGGUUCCGUAUUAAACUGAAUAACCAGGCACAUGGAAGGUCUGUAAAGCACGUGAAAAUCUGUCACACGCUGUUAUACGUAUUUGCCUUAACUUGGUGGAGAGGAUACGAGAGUCCCAUCUGCCAAAUGACAAGGCUUCACUUCUUGAAGGAACCCAUCCAACUGCCGAAAGUUCACUCGGCAGUAGAGAGGUUAAGAGCGGUCGCUGCCUGGAGAGAAGUGGGUGCUGACCUUGGACCCACCUCCCCUGCCACUGACUUCUGGCACCGGGUGACUGAGGUCACAUAACAAAUCCAGACGCCAGAGCCUGAGCUGUUACCCACUCCCUGUGCAGCGAGGACCCUGGAAGCCACGUCGCACGAGGAGCUGUAGUGUCUGGCCACCACUGGGAAGAACCGGCACCGCUGGAGACAGCAGAUAAGGUGCCCCAGCCUUAGAACUGAGCACUCAGACAGCAGUGGAAGGACCAUUGUUUGUACGAGUGGAGGGAGGGUUUCAACUCUAAUCUAUGACAUUAGCGACACAGAACAAAUAGCCACAGUGUUGUUUUCAUUUCUACUUACUAUUAGAAAAAAGUCUCUUAAAAUUUUAAAAAUAAUAAUCAAAGUCUCUAAAUUUCUAUGCUUUUUCUUAAAAAGUUGACUCCUGAACGAAUGCCGGAUGUAGGCCCAUUUUCUCAAACUGUGUCCACUGUCUUCUCAAAUGGUACUUGGUCUUUGGAACUAUGUGCCUCUUCGGUCUGGGACCUGAGUCCUACCUCACAACAUUGUUCCAAGGAUGGACUAAGUUAAUGCUUGUGGAAAAGCUUUGCAGUGGCUGCAUCCCACACAAAUAUGAGGGGUCGGCGAACAGAAAGAAAAUGUAUUUUAAGUCCUCUUGAUACAGAUCAGCCCUGAAAGCUCUUGAAUCAGUCAGUCAUCUGUCUGGUAAAUACAGUUGCAUAAAUGUAACCAAAGCAUAUGUAUUUUCAUUGGCUCAACCAGUGUUUACCUAGUAGUGACUGGCACUUCUGUGUGUCAGUUACACAUGAGAUCUACAGAAAUGGUUAAUACAUGGCUCUACCCUCUAGAAGUAGCAUAAAAAUUAAGAAGUUAGAAUUUAGGGAGGAGGGCAUAGCUCAGUGGUAGAGUGUGUGCUUAGCAAGCACGAGGUCCUGGGUUCAAUCCCCAGUGCCUCCAUGAAAUAAAUCAAUAAACAAAUAAACCUAAUUACAUCCCCCAACCAAAAAAAAAAAAAAAAAAAAAAGAAUUGCAAUUUAGAAAAAUUAAUGCUAACUGAUAGAGAUAUGAUGUUAACCAAAAUAAAACCAAAUCAGUAAUAUAUUUCAAAGUUGUGAGGCUGGAUUUACUAAGGAUUUCUCCAUGGCUUACAUAAGCAUUGGUAGUUACCUGACACUGAAGAGGUCACUGUGGAAUUCAUUUGCUCUACGAAAUUUGCGUACAGCUCUACUAAAUUAUCUGCACAUCAUGAAACAAUUAUGGUGGAAAUCCUGAAACUAAGGCCCUGUGCAUUCUCACUUUGCAUUGCCUUACUUCCGUCCAUGGCUAAACAUUAUGAUCAGUAAGAGCAGGAGAAAAUAGUUGCAAAUAAAGUUUUGUAGAGGGAAGUUCCACACUGAACAAUGCCCUGAGUCAAGCCUUUGACUGGGACAGGCUGUCAUUCAGUGAAGGGAGAAGCAGCCAUGGUCCUUGGAGGUUGAAACACUGGAUCCCAAAUGAGUCUGUAUAUGAGCUCGGAGAAGAGCAGAGCAGGUGGCAGGCAGAAAUCCAGACUCCACCAUGUUGACCUGUUGCUCGCGAUCACUGAACACGUGAGAUACGUUUUACGGUUUUGCCAAAGCACAAUCAGCCUUGGUCUGCAAUUGUGAGCCGGUAGCAGGAGCAGAUGACCAUGCAGGAGGUGCCCGGGACUCAGACGCACAGGGAACAGUAGAGUGACGAGCAGACACGUACCGACGGGAAAGUGUCGGCUGGUCUCGCCUAUUUUUUGCAUGGAAACCCCCAGGGUUAGUGUAAAUGCCUUUGAAAACAACUCCAUAUGUGAAUAAAUGAAAUAAUAGGAAAGAAGGAGGAAGGAGGAAAAAAAGAAGUCAUCUUUACUGACUUUACCACUGGGCUAUGCCAAGCAGAAUUGCUGACAAAUGGUAACUACCAUUGACUGGAUCCUAACUGUGUGCAAGUUUCUGUUUUAAGUAGUUCACACUCAUCGCCUCGUUGAAACUUCGUAACAGCCUCAAGUGAGACUUACUCCUGGGUUUACAAGUGGGAGAACUUUCCUACAGCCAGGAGUGAGGUCGACGGAGAAUUCAAAACCGCAUCUUCGGGGCGGGGGUGGGGGGGUAAGGCUCAGCGGUAGAGCGCAUGUUAGCGCGCACGGGGUCCUGGGUUCAAUCCCUAGGGCCUCCUCUAAAAAUAAAUAAAUCAACCUAAUUACCCCCCCAAACUAAAUAAAAGUAAAAGGAGACAUAAAGAUUCUUUAAAAAACUAAAAGCCCUCUUGUGUAGAAGCCCACUCUUCGCGCCGCCCUGGACAGCACGGGCGCGGCCGCAGAGGGCCGUGGGGAGGCGCGGCGAGGCCCGGCCCCUGCCCUCGGGGAGCCCUCGGGGAGGAAGGCUCAUCAGGCCUGAGGCAACCCGGAGGACAACGCAGUUACUUGCAAGUGUCGUGGAGAGGACAAGCGGGCGGACGCGGGCCGGGAAGGGGCUUCUCCGAGGCGGAGCCAGAGCGCCGGGGCAGCGUGUCUCAGGAGGACAGGAGCGAGG